rnacentral:rRNA from 1 species
UACAGAGGUCCCAAGCGUUGUUCGGAUUCACUGGGCGUAAAGGGUGCGUAGGUGGUCAGGUAAGUCUGAUGUGAAAUCUCUGAGCUCAACUCAGAAAUGACAUUGGAUACUAUCUGGCUAGAGGGUCGGAGGGGGGACUGGAAUUCUCGGUGUAGCAGUGAAAUGCGUAGAUAUUGAGAGGAACACCAGUGGCGAAGGCGAGUCCCUGGACGACUCCUGACACUGAGGCACGAAAGCUAGGGGAGCAAACAGG